UUACAAUAAAUAUGGAAAAUGAAAUGUCCAUUUUAUAUAAAGAAAUGAUCAGUGCACACUCGGGAGUUGUUUCCCGACCCAGCUAACUUAUUCACCAUGUCUGACAUGAUCUCAGAUUCUGCAGAGCAAGGGCAUCAUCUAUCUUGGCUCAGUGGCAUCACAGACUAAACAGGAUUUCUUCCAAGUUAAAAAUUUGUCUAUGUAAUUUGUUACACACUCCUAUAAAUACCACACAGCCACAAGUUAAACCAGUUGCUUCUUGAUGGUAGGCUAGAAACACAUGUUUUACACUCUAAUUAAUGUACUUUACGUGUGUUUGAGCUCAAAUGAUAGUGAAUUGCUCUUAUUACAUGUUUUAUGUCUUGCAGGAAGUAAUCC
rnacentral:lncRNA from 1 species